rnacentral:rRNA from 1 species
UACGGAGGAUCCAAGCGUUAUCCGGAUUUAUUGGGUUUAAAGGGUGCGUAGGCGGCCUAUUAAGUCAGGGGUGAAAGACGGUAGCUUAAGCUAAUCGCAGUGCCUUUGAUACUGAUGGGCUUGAAUGAACUAGAGGUAGGCGGAAUGUGACAAGUAGCGGUGAAAUGCAUAGAUAUGUCACAGAACACCAAAUUGCGAAGGCAGCUUACUAUGGUUUUAUUGACGCUGAGGCACGAAAGCGUGGGGGAUCAAACAGGG